GGGGAUGUUAUAAAUCGACGGAUAGCACCUUUGCCAACUAGCCAAUCAGAGACCAGAGCUCUGUAAAAAGCUGGAAAAUCGACAAAUGCCAAGUCAAAUUUCGCGAAAUUGAAGAACGCUUUUGCGUCAUUCAAUCUCGCUCCUGUUGCCGCCUAAAUCGCGGUAACCAUCCGAUCCUCUGACUCCUGAUAGGGGGCCAUCGGGUGUCAUUCAUUUCAGGGCUGAUGAUCCGGCUGUUUCCGAGGAUCAUCGUGGGCAACCGGAAACUAGGACGAUAAGCACUUUUGUCUGUUUUGAUGCUUGACGCCCGAACUCAAAGAAAUAGACUACAUUGGUAGACGGCUGGCAAAUACCUGUUCAGACAGGGGUGAAAGUCCCCUCAUCUCCACCA
rnacentral:tmRNA from 1 species